CGGCGUGCCUAAUACAUGCAAGUCGAACGGUCUUUCUAUGGAAGCUUGCUUCCACUGAGAAGAUAGUGGCGAACGGGUGAGUAACACGUGGGUAACCUGCCCAUAAGAGGGGGAUAACAUCCGGAAACGGGUGCUAAUACCGCAUAGUUUCUUGAUCGCAUGAUCGGAAAGGAAAGACGGCCUUUGUGCUGUCGCUUAUGGAUGGACCCGCGGCGUAUUAGUUAGUUGGUGAGGUAACGGCUCACCAAGACGAUGAUACGUAGCCGACCUGAGAGGGUGAUCGGCCACAUUGGGACUGAGACACGGCCCAAACUCCUACGGGAGGCAGCAGUAGGGAAUCUUCCGCAAUGGACGAAAGUCUGACGGAGCAACGCCGCGUGAGUGAAGAAAGGUUUUCGGAUCGUAAAACUCUGUUGUCAGAGAAGAACAAGUUGGAGAGUAACUGCUCCAGCCUUGACGGUAUCUGACCAGAAAGCCACGGCUAACUACGUGCCAGCAGCCGC
rnacentral:rRNA from 1 species